UGGCGGCAGGCCUAACACAUGCAAGUCGAGCGGAUGAGAAUAGCUUGCUCUUCGAUUCAGCGGCGGACGGGUGAGUAAUACCUAGGAAUCUGCCUGGUAGUGGGGGACAACGUUUCGAAAGGAACGCUAAUACCGCAUACGUCCUACGGGAGAAGGCAGGGGACCUUCGGGCCUUGCGCUAUCAGAUGAGCCUAGGUCGGAUUAGCUAGUUGGUGAGGUAAUGGCUCACCAAGGCUACGAUCCGUAACUGGUCUGAGAGGAUGAUCAGUCACACUGGAACUGAGACACGGUCCAGACUCCUACGGGAGGCAGCAGUGGGGAAUAUUGGACAAUGGGCGAAAGCCUGAUCCAGCCAUGCCGCGUGUGUGAAGAAGGUCUUCGGAUUGUAAAGCACUUUAAGUUGGGAGGAAGGGCAGUAAGCGAAUACCUUGCUGUUUUGACGUUACCGACAGAAUAAGCACCGGCUAACUCUGUGCCAGCAGCCGCGGUAAUACAGAGGGUGCAAGCGUUAAUCGGAAUUACUGGGCGUAAAGCGCGCGUAGGUGGUUCGUUAAGUUGGAUGUGAAAUCCCCGGGCUCAACCUGGGAACUGCAUCCAAAACUGGCGAGCUAGAGUAGGGCAGAGGGUGGUGGAAUUUCCUGUGUAGCGGUGAAAUGCGUAGAUAUAGGAAGGNACACCAGUGGCGAAGGCGACCACCUGGGCUCAUACUGACACUGAGGUGCGAAAGCGUGGGG
rnacentral:rRNA from 1 species